UUUAUUGCUUUCAAUUUCAGUUUUAUUACAGUUCAUGGGAGGGCACGUGUGUGUCUAUUCCAAAUAUCCUCUUUUAUUGAGAACUAAGGAAAUAUUAACUACAUCGCUCUUCUGUUUCAUGAGCAAAUCUAUUCCAUGAGGUGGGGGAUGGAUUUUUCUCUAGGUAUUUAUAGCUUUGCGGGUGAACUUUUCCAGAAUUCCAUUUGUCGACUCCUUUCUCACCCUCGGGAUUGGUCGGCUCUUCUCUGGCGGCUGCGACGGGAGGCCCUUUCCACAGCCUGGGAGGCCAGAAGAGCAGUCUGCGGCUGCGCGGAGGACGGGUGCGUGGAGCGGAAGGCGGGAGUGCACGGAGCAGAAAGCCGGGCCGCUGGAGGCUUUGCACCCAGCCCCUGGCCCGCAGGACUCCUCGGAGAACAGCAAAGCAGGGUGGUGCUGUGAAGCCCGGCCGCGGGGUUCAGAGAGCCAAGUGAGACUGAUGCUUUCAUCUUUGGAACAAGACUGUCCAAUAAGGAAGGAGGACAUUAGCCACCUCUCAUUCUGUAUAACUGGCCGUGGAUCCUACUCGAAGGGGGAAGAAUUUAAAGUUUGUUUUGAUCAAAACUGCUACUUCCUUUAGUAGUGGGACUCCAGGAGGCCCUCGGAAUAGGAAAAAUUUAUAGGAAGUUUCUGCAACAGAAGAAGAAAGAGAAAAGAAAACGGGCAUUCUGGUAGCAAAAAAAGAUUCUCAAAUGAAUGCAAAGGAAAAUCAAAGAUAAGAAAAAGUAUUCACAAUUUGAGGUGGAAAAUAAGAACCCUUAACACCAAAGGGAAAAGUUGUGGAGAGGGAGAGGGAGACUGACUGAUACCCUACAGGUCAAGGCAGAGCCCGGGCUGGGACUGAGAGCCAGGCCGGAAGCAGGUUCUCAGCAGCUGUGCUGCUUUCCUGGCAAGCUGGAGGUAAAGUGCCGGCUGGACAGAGUGUGAGGAGGUGUCAGAGAAGGGCAUGUGACAGCACACCUGCCAGGCCGCAAGGAGAGAGACUGAGAGUAUGUGCUGUUUGCUUGUUCCUCCAGCAACCGAGCGCCUGGACCAGCCGGCCCUACCUCACCUCAUACAGGCACACGCGUGCCCCAAGGGACAGCUCAGGGCGCCUCAGCCAUGCAGCAAGCUCAGACCCCAGACGACGGCAGAGAAGCCAAUGGGACAGUGCAGUGUGUCUUUUAUAUCUCCCGGGAGACCAGUUAGAAGAAUUAAGAGAGCAACAUUUAAGAAUGAGGACAUGAGAGGAACUCUUUUUUCCUAAUGGAGUGAAAUUGCAGAGUCUUUUAGGCCAGUUCCUUUUAAAGUGAUCUCUUGCCCUUUAAGAACUAAAAAACAGUUGUUUAAUGUCCCUGAAAGUUUCUUGAAACAAGUAAUUUGUCCCCCUUUUUUUUUCUAAGCAGGAGGCCAAAAAUAGAAGCCAUUUGGCUUCCUCUUCUGAGGCAGAUCUGGAUAAGCCUCGCCUGAGAAAAUCCUCCUUGUACAUUAACCAAGGGAGCUGUCACAAAGGAAUUUGGGAAUCAUUGCAGGCGUGUGUACACAGAGCGUCCAAACGGGAAGCAAAGCUGGGCCUGGUUUUCUUCAGCCUCAGACCACACUUCUGUCUCUGCUCCUUACUAAUAAGGGGAAGAAAUCGCUUCAGACCCUACUGCUGCCACCUCCUAGGAGCUCCAGCAACUUGAGUCACCACAAGGAAGAUGGUCAGGUGUACGGUUUAAUCCCAUCUUGCAGAGUUUCUGCCCUUGUGGAGUAAAAAUACUCUCUGUCAAAAGGGCAUGUUAAGUAACCCUAACUAACCUUGGGCUGGGGAUGUAGCUCAGUGACAGAGCAUUUGCUAGCACGUGCAAGGCCUUUGAAGACAAUGACAACGAUGAUGAUAAGAAGUAGCUUUCCCGUGCUAAGCUUUUAACAUCCUGUGCCAUGUAAUCUGCACAGCAACCCCAUGAGGAAGAACUACGGUGAUGCCCAUAUCACAGAUGCCCACGCUGAGGCGCAGAGGUGCUGAAUGCUGUGGCUGCACAGGGAACCAAGAUUAAAGCCAAGCAACGGGACUGGGCUCUGGACUUGCAGAACAGGAGUGCACAAGCUCAUAACACGAAUCAGCACGUACUUUAUGCCACAUCACUGGAAUGCAGCACUGCUUGCAAGGAAAAGGAUGACUUCAACACAGCUGAGGCCAGAGAGGAGGGGGCAGGACCAAGGGAGGACUGGCUCCUCCUAGAGCAGAAAGGAAGUCAUUUUUCACUAGCACAUGAAGUUGUUAUCUACUUUGAAGCCAGCUGUUUGAGCGAGCGCGUGACUCCCGUGGAUGUGUGUGAGCAGACCUGCUCUGUUGGUUGCAGUCUCUAAGCUUUACCUUCUUAGCCCCUAGAAGACAAGUUCUUCCAUUUCAGGUCACCUGCCACCAAGGCCCCCAGUUCCUGGGCUGUCUGUGUCCAGUGAAGGAGACUCCAGAAGAAAUUUGACUGUUCGUGAGCCCUGAUCUGGAACAGAGAGGAGGAAAGGUCUUUUCCUUCACCUCCCCCACCACCACCACUUAAAGUCCUCACGCCUCCUCUGCAGUUUUUGGCAGACCUUUCAGGAAAUAUUAAGUUAGACUAAAAAUUCAGAGGUCUCAGUAACAUUCGGGGCUAAUUUAAAACAUCCAGCAUACUACAAAUUCAACAUAGAAUUAUUUAAACAUUGGUUCUACUUAUUUUAGCAAGACAGCAGCUGCCUAGAAUCAGAAUUGAGAACAAAUAAAUAAGAGUGAAACGAGGAUGGAUUUUCGCAGGAGCUAAAAUUAAAAUGUCUUGUGUGAUGAGUGCAUUUCAACAGCCACAAAGCACCUCAACGCGCACAAACAGUGACUCAAAGGAGGAUCAAAAGGUAUCACUGCCUGCUUGGCCUCCCCCAUAGCAAAUGAGACACUGAAGGCCUGGGUGGCAACUAUGUGCUUCCUCUUUGGGUGCACAUUUAGCCUGUCUCUGCAGGACAGAUUUGGAACAAAAGAAAAGGAAGUGGAAAGAACAACUUCAUCUUCAGAUGUAAUUCCAACCAAACUGGGAAUUUGAGGGGUCUUCUAUUGGUCACACUCUAUCUUCUUUUGCUUUUGGGGGUGCUUGUUUACCUUCAUGCAAAUAUACUAAGAAGUCAGAACUGCAGACAUUUUAGAGCCAGGAAUUCUCUCGUGCCCAAAAGCCACUCCCAUCCACACAGGACACUUCUGUUUCAUCUCAGCAUUGAUUAUAUUCUUUGCGAGCCACUAAGCUGUGACGAAAUGUGUGCUUUCCUGAGACAACAUGUAAGCAUUUCAUAAAGGAGCCCCCAGUACUCAUGAACUAUUUUCAGACACAGUAUUUAUGAAACUAUUAAAAACUCAUUCCUCUUGCCAUCUUUUUAUAAGUUGAAAAGCAAGCAUAGGUUAUUUAUAUCAUUUCCCUAGAGACACUAGUAAUUUUGGUCUGGAAGAUAUUUGCAUUUAAGAUACAUCAUGCAGCUGGCAUCAGUGUUUUGUUUUGUUUUGUUGACUUGUAUUUGUACACUCAUCUAUUGGUAGCAAUUCUAUUAGCUCUUUUAAAGGGUUAGGUAGAGGAAACAUAGAAAUAUAUCAUGCCUCUACGUCAAAAUAUGAAGAACAAAAAAAAGAUAAUAGGAAAUAAGGAGAUAGGAAGGGAAGGGAGGAGAAGAAAAGGAAAUGAAGUGAGAAUUGAGAUGUGUUAUUAUGUGUACCAGCUCCCCACAAGGAAUGUAAUCAUUAUGUGAAACCAGCAUGCACCAAUGAAAAAGAAAAAAAUACAGCUGAAAAAUUUUGUGCUUUGAAGUGAGACUGAGACAAUCUCUGAAGAAAGCUGAGUAGACAUGCACUGUCUCUCCACUAAGGAGGAAAACGAGACCUCAGAACAAAAAUUAUCCUGAAUCUUCCCCUUCUGUAAAAAGACAGACUUCCCUUUUUGAGUGGAAUAAGUGGAGAAUGUGUUAGAACUGACUUGCAUGUGCCAGAGAGAGAACCCUGUGCCUCCAAUGUCCACCCUGGAUCUGAGAGCCCCAGUGUUGGGUGUGAAGUGAGAACCUGUGUUGCUUUCUGGCUGUGCAUUUCGAGUGGACGCACUUGGCAUGGGGCGGGGGUGCUGGCCAUUUGGGAGGAUUGAAUGAAGCUGGUUUCCUUCUCUAUAGAACCACCACCAGUUCCAUCAUUUUCCGGAGGCUGCUGCCUGAGAGCAGGUUUUAGACGUGAAGGCCUUUGAGGUGAGCAAGUAGCUGUCUUAAAAACAGGUUGCAGUGAAUGAGAUCGCUUGGUCUGCCCCCUCGAGUUUUGGGAGCCGCAGUUCCCAUUCCCAGUGCAUUGUUGCUUCCUUAAAUUCUUGAUCCUCAGAACCAGCUUCCUGGAUCAUGGGCUGAACCCCUCACCUUGAACUUCUUCAGGCUUAUUCGUCUGGGUUAUUAUUCUGAUUUGCUAAGUAGGUCAUAACGGGAAAGCAAGGCGAGUCAUUGCACGAAUGACCCAAGACCCUUCCCUCGGCCUGCCGCAGCGCGUCGCUGUGUCCUCUCAGUGCCACUUCCCAGAGCACGUGGAGCCUGCCCUCUGGACUCUGGACUCUGUCCUCACCAGUGCCCCCCUGGGGGUCUAACGAGCCCUCCUUGGAUAACCGCUGGAGAGCUGUCCAGCUGUGCUCCUAUCCGCCCCUUCUCCCCAGGUGCCCCAGAACUGCGGGCUCAGGUGUUGCGCCUGGGUAGAGUGUGGAACCUUCCUCGUGCCCCCAGGGCACUGAGAGCGAGACUAACGCAGCCUGCUCUGCACCACAGGCCUCUCCCAGGUCAGCUCCUUUCCAGCCUCACCCAGUGCCUCAUGUCCUCCUGCCCCCUCCACGGCCGUCCCAACGGAGGACCCUGCCUGCCUGGGACACCUGCUGUGCCUUGGGAUGCUUAUCCUCUUCCCCCAUUCAGCCGCUUCCUCCAGAAAGCCCGCCAGGCCUCCCGGGCAUGCAGCCCUACAGCACAUACGCACUGCAGGAAAGCUGAAAAUUGGUCAAACUCCGAGCAGGGGCAUAGCUGGUGUCAGUGUUAGAAAUUCUGAGGAAAAUAAACAUGCCACCUCCAAAAUCUAAUCUGAAAGGUAUGUUAUUUGUUUAAUCCAGGAAAAGAAUCAAAUUAGGUUUUCAAAGAAUAAAAACUUUUAACUGGCAGCAUCAAAAAUACUAGUUUGCACAAAUACUUUCCAUAGUGUCUUUCCAGCCUGCCCCCCCACCCUGCUCCAAACUCCUAAUGACCACAAGAUAAAUGUGAGAAUUUUUUUACCCUGUCCUCAAUCAAAACCUGGGUUUUCCAUGUAUAACUAGGCCACAAUCAUCACUUUCUAUGGCCAAAAUGAAUUUCAAAUAGACAGACCUUUUGCCUUGCAUAUAUAAGCAAUUGACAUCCCUGCAACCAAUCAGAUUAAAGGGCAGGAGAAGGGAAAGCACCAGUGGGGAGGCCUCCUGAGGAAAUGUGUAUUUGACCAGCAAGGGAGGCCACACGGAGCCCUGGCACUUUCAUCUUUCACCCUCUGACGGAUCUGAUUGCUGUUCCCUC